CUGAUUGGUUGGUUGGUAGUCAAUGAAUAAUUUUAAUAUUAUUAGUUUAAAUUAUGUGAAAGUUAAACUGUUUUUACAAUUUUCAAACAAGUAGUUUUUGGGGAGAAGUUGUAUAAACAUGUUUGAAGAGGAAAGUAGUAGUGAUAUUAACGAAACAUUGAUUGAAGAAGCAUUAACAAACAUUUGGAAAAUUACAUUGAAAAUAAAGAGAGAAUUGGACAUAAUAAAUGACCUUGUAAAAGAAAAUGGAAAUUUCUGCUCAGCAGUCAUACAUACAAACCAGAACUUAAUGAAAAUACUUGAAGAAAAAGGUAUAGAUUUAUCUGCAAUUGAAGAAGAAAAAGAGAAUAAUGAAGAUAGUAAUAUUUUGGAGAGUGAAAAUGGAUCAGAUAUUAUAAAUCCUCUUGUACCAGUUAUAAAUAGAUUUUCCAAGAUUCCAUAAAAUAGCUAAUAAUUCAUUCUAAUAAAUAAUUGUAUUGUAA
rnacentral:lncRNA from 1 species